rnacentral:rRNA from 1 species
CACACUGUAAACGAUGAAUGCUAGGUGUAGGAGGUAUCGACCCCUUCUGUGCCGUAGUCAACACACUAAGCAUUCCGCCUGGGGAGUACGGUCGCAAGAUUAAAACUCAAAGGAAUUGAC